rnacentral:misc_RNA from 1 species
AAGUCGUAACAAGGUUUCCGUAGCUGAACCUGCGGAAGGAUCAUUAACACAUAUCGUUAAAACCACCCCCCGUGAACAUUCAUCCUGCUCUUGUAACCCGCGAAGCUUGCAAUCUCUGGUAAAUCAUAGCCCGGAAAGUAGUUUUGAUUCAGAGACCUCUGGCCCGUGAGAAUAUUGGAACAGUUACAAUUUUGAGCUUGUUUCCCCAAGCAGGCAGUGUCUGAAAGUGUCAUUCAUUGCAAGGAUAACGCUUCACGAUUCUUGUAGACCGCAUCUCGCAGGCAGGAGCUAGGCCAAAGGGGCCCCAUGGCCCCUUACAACCCAGUUAAAUGUGAAGCUCAAUGCGUAAAAAAACCGAACAACUGUAAACAAUGGAUAUCUUGGUUCUC